rnacentral:rRNA from 1 species
UGCCUGCCCAGUGACACUGUUAAACGGCCGCGGUAUCCUAACCGUGCAAAGGUAGCGCAAUCACUUGUCUUUUAAAUAAAGACUAGAAUGAAUGGCCAAACGAGGCUCUACCUGUCUCUUACAAAUAAUCAGUGAAAUUGAUCUUCCUGUGCAAAAGCAGGAAUAACCCUAUAAGACGAGAAGACCCUGUGGAACUUCAAAUACAAAAUCAACUAUACCAACAUCAGCCCAACAGGCCUAUACCAAAAUAGUACUGAUUUUUAUUUUCGGUUGGGGCGACCUCGGAGUAAAACAAAACCUCCGAAAAAUAAAUAAACUCUUUAAACCUAGAAUGACAGUUCAAAGUGCUUCCAGCAAAAUGAUCCAAUAUAAUUGAUCAACGAACCAAGCUACCCCAGGGAUAACAGCGCAAUCCCAUUCUAGAGUCCCUAUCGACAAUGGGGUUUACGACCUCGAUGUUGGAUCAGGACAUCCUGAUGGUGUAACCGCUAUCAAGGGUUCGUUUGUUCAACGAUUAAUAGUCCUA